CAGAGUGUAAAAACUCCCAAAACCCAUGUGAACAUACCUUUUUGUUGCUUCGGCGGGAUCGCCCCGGGCGCCUUGUGUGCCCCGGAGUCAGGCGCCCGCCGGGGGACCCCAAACUCUUGUUUUUAGCGAGUAUCUUCUGAGUAACGUUUUUAAAUAAAUAA
rnacentral:misc_RNA from 1 species